rnacentral:rRNA from 1 species
UACNGAUACUCUUUGAAAAGGCCCCAAUAUNUUNGGGGNAACCGNCCCAAGGGUGCGUAACGCGUGAGCAACAUGCCCGUAUCAGGGUUUAUAAUCCAGGGAAACUUGGUCUAAUACCCCAUAGUAAAUUUUGUAGGCAUCUAUAAAAUUUUAAAGCUUUGGUGGAUACGGAUUGGCUCGCGUGACAUUAGCUAGAUGGUAAGGUAACGGCUUACCAUGGCUACGAUGUCUAGGGGUUCUGAGAGGAAGAUCCCCCACACUGGAACUGAGACACGGUCCAGACUCCUACGGGAGGCAGCAGUGAGGAAUAUUGGACAAUGGAUGGAAAUCUGAUCCAGCCAUGCCGCGUGCAGGAAGACGGCCCUAUGGGUUGUAAACUGCUUUUAUAUGGGAGCAAUAAGGCCUACGAGUAGGUCGAUGAGAGUACCAUAUGAAUAAGCACCGGCUAACUCCGUGCCAGCAGCCGCGGCAAUACGGAGGGUGCAAGCGUUAUCCGGAUUUAUUGGGUUUAAAGGGUGCGUANGCGGUUUGAUAAGUCAGCCGGUGAAAUAUUUCAGCUUAACUGGAAAGGGUGCCGUUGAUACUGUCAGGCUUGAAUUUAAUUGCUGUGGGUGGAAUGUGUGGUGUANCGGUGAAAUGCAUAGAUNUCCCACCAGAAUAUUCGAUUGCGAAGGC